rnacentral:misc_RNA from 1 species
CCAAUAGCGUAUAUUAAAGUUGUUGCAGUUAAAAAGCUCGUAGUUGAAUUUCGGGAUCAGUAGGUCGGUCGUGCCACUGGUAUGAACUGGUCUCACUGGUUCCUCCCUCUUGACGAACUGCAAUGCUAUUAAUUUAGUGUUGUAGGAAAUCAGGACUGUUACUUUGAAAAAAUUAGAGUGUUUAAAGCAAGCUUUAGCUUGAAUACAUUAGCAUGGAAUAAUGAAAUAGGACGUUCGAUCCUAUUUUGUUGGCUUCUAGGAUUGACGUAAUGAUUAAUAGGGACAGUUGGGGGCAUUAGUAUUCAAUUGUCAGAGGUGAAAUUCUUGGAUUUAUUGAAGACUAACUACUGCGAAAGCAUUUGCCAAGGAUGUUUUUAUUAAUCAAGAACGAAAGUUAGGGGAUCGAAGACGAUCAGAUACCGUCGUAGUCUUAACCAUAAACUAUGCCGACUAGGGAUCGGAUGAUGUUAAUUUUUUAAUGACUCAUUCGGCGCCUUACG